CAGCAGCCGCGGUAAUACGAAGGGGGCUAGCGUUGUUCGGAAUUACUGGGCGUAAAGCGCACGCAGGCGGCUCGAUAAAUUAGAAGUGAAAGCCUUGGGCUUAACCUGAGAAUUGCUUUUAAGACUGUCGAGCUAGAAUCCAGAAGAGGGUAGUGGAAUUCCGAGUGUAGAGGUGAAAUUCGUAGAUAUUCGGAAGAACACCAGUGGCGAAGGCGACUACCUGGUCUGGCAUCGACGCUCAUGUGCGAAAGCGUGGGGAGCAAACAGGAUUAGAUACCCGGGUAGUCCCUGUCUCUUAUAC
rnacentral:rRNA from 1 species